GUCUUUUUGAAUAAUAUUUAUUUAAAGUCUAAUCUGCUCACUGAAUUAAAAUUUAAAGAGCCGCAGUAUUUUAACUGUGCAAAGGUAGCAUAAUAAUUUGUUUUUUAAUUGAAAACUAGAAUGAAUGAUUGAACGAGAUAUAUACUGUCUCAAUUUUAAUUUAAUAUAAAUUAAUUUUUUAGUUAAAAAGCUAAAAUUGAUUUAAAAGACGAGAAGACCCUAUAGAUUUUUAUAUAAUUAUUAAUUAAUUUAUAUAUAUAUAAAUUUAUUUAUAUUUAUUGAUAAUUGUAUUUUAUUGGGGUAAUAAAAAAAUAAAAAAAACUUUUAUUAAAUAAAAACAUAAAUUAAUGAAAAUUUGAUCCAAAUUUAAUGAUUAAAAGAUUAAAUUACCUUAGGGAUAACAGCGUAAUUUUAAUUUUAAGUUCUUAUUGAAAUUAAAGAUUGCGACCUCGAUGUUGGAUUAAGAAAAAUUUUAAAAGUAGAUUUUUAAAUUUUAGGUCUGUUCGACCUUUAAAAUCUU
rnacentral:rRNA from 1 species